rnacentral:rRNA from 1 species
CGUAGGGUGCGAGCGUUAAUCGGAAUUACUGGGCGUAAAGCGUGCGCAGGCGGUUGUGUAAGACAGGUGUGAAAUCCCCGGGCUUAACCUGGGAACUGCGCUUGUGACUGCACGGCUAGAGUAUGGCAGAGGGGGGUGGAAUUCCACGUGUAGCAGUGAAAUGCGUAGAGAUGUGGAGGAACACCGAUGGCGAAGGCAGCCCCCUGGGCCAAUACUGACGCUCAUGCACGAAAGCGUGGGGAGCAAACAGGAUU